rnacentral:lncRNA from 1 species
CCCACGGGAGCACACACAUGUGCAGAUGAACACAGCACAGGGUGCAAAAGGUGACUUGCCUGGAUGCAGUUUGUCAGUGAGUGCUGUCGGGGGCAGGACAGAGGCUCUCACCAGGUCGUUUCACACCAGAAGAUACUGGGGUGCAGAUGGAAGUGAGCCACCACCACCUGGACAGAUAAGCCCUGGGUUGCCCAUGGUAGGUGUGUACUGAUCCAAAGGUAUAGUGACGUCCCUGGAGGAGGGACAGGAGUUCCUUGUUUUUUGCAGGAUGCACCCCUGAUACGGAGUUCAUAUGAGAACAAAAGUACCCAAGAAAUAU